rnacentral:rRNA from 1 species
AGAACGAACGCUGGCGGCAUGCCUAAUACAUGCAAGUCGAACGAGAUCCUUCGGGGUCUAGUGGCGCACGGGUGCGUAACGCGUGGGAAUCUACCCUUGGGUUCGGAAUAACAGUUGGAAACGACUGCUAAUACCGGAUGAUGACGAAAGUCCAAAGAUUUAUCGCCCAAGGAUGAGCCCGCGUAGGAUUAGCUAGUUGGUGAGGUAAAGGCUCACCAAGGCUACGAUCCUUAGCUGGUCUGAGAGGAUGAUCAGCCACACUGGGACUGAGACACGGCCCAGACUCCUACGGGAGGCAGCAGUAGGGAAUAUUGGACAAUGGGGGCAACCCUGAUCCAGCAAUGCCGCGUGAGUGAUGAAGGCCUUAGGUGUAAAGCUCUUUUACCCGAGAUGAUAAUGACAGUAUCGGAGAAUAAGCUCCGGCUAACGUCCGUGCCAGCAGCCGC